CCAUAUCAUGCUGAAACACUAAUUCUCAUUCGAUCACCAGGGUUAAGCAAUGUCAGACUUGGUUAGUACCUUGAUGGGUGACUACUUAGGAAUACCAUAUGCUGCAA